AACGAACGCUGGCGGCAUGCCUAACACAUGCAAGUCGAACGAUGCAUCCGGGCCUAGUGUCGCACGGGUACGUGACGCGUGGGAACCAACCCUUAGGUUCGGAGUAACUCCCUGAAAGGUGUGCUAAUACCGCAUAUUGUCUUAGGGCCAAAGCUUUAUCGCCUUUGGAUGGGCCCGCGUUGGAUUAGUUAGUUGGUAGGGUAAAAGCCUAGCAAGGCGACGUUCCAUAGCUGGUCUGAGAGGAUGAGCAGUCACACUGGGACUGAGACACGGCCCAGACUCCUACGGGAGGCAGCAGUGGGGGAUAGUGGACAAUGGGCGAAAGCCUGAUCCAGCAGUGCCGCGUGAGUUAUGAAGGCCUUAGGGUUGUAAAGAACCUGUAACCGUGAUGAUAAUGACAGUACCGGGAGAAUAAGCGCCGGCUAACUCCGUG
rnacentral:rRNA from 1 species